rnacentral:rRNA from 1 species
UCGAGCGAGACCUUCGGGUCUAGCGGCGGACGGGUUAGUAACGCGUGGGAACGUGCCCUUCUCUGCGGAAUAGCCACUGGAAACGGUGAGUAAUACCGCAUACGCCCUUCGGGGGAAAGAUUUAUCGGAGAAGGAUCGGCCCGCGUUAGAUUAGAUAGUUGGUGGGGUAAUGGCCUACCAAGUCUACGAUCUAUAGCUGGUUUUAGAGGAUGAUCAGCAACACUGGGACUGAGACACGGCCCAGACUCCUACGGGAGGCAGCAGUGGGGAAUCUUAGACAAUGGGCGCAAGCCUGAUCUAGCCAUGCCGCGUGUGUGAUGAAGGUCUUAGGAUCGUAAAGCACUUUCGCCAGGGAUGAUAAUGACAGUACCUGGUAAAGAAACCCCGGCUAACUCCGUGCCAGCAGCCGCGGUAAUACGGAGGGGGUUAGCGUUGUUCGGAAUUACUGGGCGUAAAGCGUACGUAGGCGGAUCAGAAAGUUGGGGGUGAAAUCCCGGGGCUCAACCCCGGAACUGCCUCCAAAACUCCUGGUCUUGAGUUCGAGAGAGGUGAGUGGAAUUCCAAGUG